rnacentral:rRNA from 1 species
GUCUGUGGCCAUCCCACCCUGAAUGCGCCCAGUCUUGUCUGACUUCCAGAGCUAAGCAGGGUCAGGCCUGGUUAGGAUUUGGAUGGAGGAGCACUGUGUUCUCCUGCUGCAGGUCCUGCUGCAGUCA